rnacentral:rRNA from 1 species
GAUGAACGCUGGCGGCGUGCCUAAUACAUGCAAGUCGAGCGAACAGACGAGGAGCUUGCUCCUCUGACGUUAGCGGCGGACGGGUGAGUAACACGUGGAUAACCUACCUAUAAGACUAGGAUAACUUCGGGAAACCGGAGCUAAUACCGGAUAAUAUAUUGAACCGCAUGGUUCAAUAGUGAAAGACGGUUUUGCUGUCACUUAUAGAUGGAUCCGCGCCGCAUUAGCUAGUUGGUAAGGUAACGGCUUACCAAGGCAACGAUGCGUAGCCGACCUGAGAGGGUGAUCGGCCACACUGGAACUGAGACACGGUCCAGACUCCUACGGGGGGCAGCAGUAGGGAAUCUUCCGCAAUGGGCGAAAGCCUGACGGAGCAACGCCGCGUGAGUGAUGAAGGUCUUCGGAUCGUAAAACUCUGUUAUUAGGGAAGAACAAAUGUGUAAGUAACUAUGCACGUCUUGACGGUACCUAAUCAGAAAGCCACGGCUAACUACGUG